GUGGGUGAAUCUUGCACAAUGGAGGAAACUCUGAUGCAGCGAUGCCGCGUGAGUGAAGAAGGCCUUUGGGUUGUAAAGCUCUUUUGUAGGGGAAGAUAAUGACUGUACCCUAAGAAUAAGGUCCGGCUAACUUCGUGCCAGCAGCCGCGGUAAUACGAAGGGACCUAGCGUAGUUCGGAAUUACUGGGCGUAAAGCGCGCGUAGGCCGUUGAGUUAGUUAAUUGUGAAAUCCCAAAGCUUAACUUUGGAACUGCAAUUAAAACUGCUCGACUAGAGUUUGAUAGAGGAAAGCGGAAUACAUAGUGUAGAGGUGAAAUUCGUAGAUAUUAUGUAGAACACCAGUUGCGAAGGCGGCUUUCUGGAUCAACACUGACGCUGAGGCGCGAAAGUAUGGGUAGCAAAGAGGAUUAGAUACCCC
rnacentral:rRNA from 1 species